rnacentral:ncRNA from 12 species
AUACUAUUUCCCAUUAUAAGUGAAGUUGUACCCGUACUUCGGGGCUGCUUCUUAAAAAGGAACCGUGUGAAAAUCACGGGCUGACGCGCAACUGUAAGUAACUUAAAGUUGCUGCCGCAUCACAAUCCAUUGUCCGGAAGGAUGAGAAGGAUGGCAGUAAUGUUACAAGCCAGGAGACUUGCUUAUAAUGUAGAGACGUAU